rnacentral:lncRNA from 1 species
CAUAUAAAAGAUUUGGAGAGUACUGCGGUGUUCUGAAUGGAAAAGAGAGAGAGUAAGAGAAAGGCACUAGAACUCUGAAACAGGACUGCUGAAGAUUUUGAAAGGGACUAUGUUGGUCUUCCCUAGGGAUGGAGGGUUUCCUGCGAUCUUAACCAUUCAACUGCCUCCUUCCCUGAAAGAAUUGAGCCAAGAUUCAGAUAAGAUUCUUCAGGCAGGAUACAGAACAGGCUGACCUGCUGUACAGACGACUUGCACUGCACACAGCCCCAGAUCGCUGCACAUGCAGCCAGCAACAAUGCAAACAAACAGAGAUGGCUCAGAAGGCUUGGGUCCUUCUCCAAUUAGCUCGUGCCUGCAUAUAAAAGAUUUGGAGAGUACUGCGGUGUUCUGAAUGGAACAAGAGAGAGAGUGAGAGAAAGGCACUAGAACUCUGGAUCAGCAAAACAGCCUCUCACCUGUCUGCUUCAGCAAAACAUCACAUGACAUAACUGAGUCUCCAAAGAAACCAGGAACUUCCACUUUAGGGACCAGUGGUUAUUGUUUAAAAACCCAGAGUCCCAUGAGGAAAACAGCGGCCAAUCCUAUUACAGCACCACUGUCCCUGAGAAAAUGGGAUUCAGCAGCUGUGAGGAGCGCCUACGCUGAAAUUCCAGCACUGGAGGAGGACUACUUAACAAACAAACUGCAACCAAUGGCAUCAACCACCAAUCUACCAACCUGUGCCUCCUGCAUCAAGGCCAUAACAUUUAUAUAUCUAUAAAUAAAACUAUUAUUCAUCUG